UUGACCUCGGAUCAGGUAGGAAU
rnacentral:rRNA from 23 species